rnacentral:rRNA from 1 species
UACAACCAUAUCACCUUGAAACAUUAGUUCUCGUAUGAUCACGGAAGUUAAGCAACGUCGAGCCUUGUUAGUACCUAGAUGGGUGACCGCUUGUGAAUGC